rnacentral:rRNA from 1 species
UGCAGUCGAGCGGUAAGGCCCUUCGGGGUACACGAGCGGCGAACGGGUGAGUAACACGUGGGUGAUCUGCCUCGUACUCUGGGAUAAGCCUGGGAAACUGGGUCUAAUACCGGAUAUGACCACGAGUCGCAUGGUUUGUGGUGGAAAGAUUUAUCGGUGCGAGAUGGGCCCGCGGCCUAUCAGCUUGUUGGUGGGGUAAUGGCCUACCAAGGCGACGACGGGUAGCCGGCCUGAGAGGGCGACCGGCCACACUGGGACUGAGACACGGCCCAGACUCCUACGGGAGGCAGCAGUGGGGAAUAUUGCACAAUGGGCGGAAGCCUGAUGCAGCGACGCCGCGUGCGGGAUGACGGCCUUCGGGUUGUAAACCGCUUUCGACAGGGACGAAGCGUGAGUGACGGUACCUGUAGAAGAAGCACCGGCCAACUACGUGCCAGCAGCCGCGGUAAUACGUAGGGUGCGAGCGUUGUCCGGAAUUACUGGGCGUAAAGAGCUUGUAGGCGGUUUGUCGCGUCGUUCGUGAAAACUUGGGGCUCAACCCCAAGCUUGCGGGCGAUACGGGCAGACUAGAGUACUGCAGGGGAGACUGGAAUUCCUGGUGUAGCGGUGAAAUGCGCAGAUAUCANGAGGAACACCGGUGGCGNANGGCGGGUCUCUGGGCAGUAACUGACGCUGANGAAGCGAAAGCGUGGGUAGCGAACAGGAUUAGAUACCCUGGUAGUCCACGCCGUAAACGNUGGGUACUAGNUGUGGGUUUNCUUCCACGGNAUCCGUGCCGUAGCUAACUCAUUAAGUACCCCGCCUGGGGAGUACGGCC